GUACACUCCUACGGGAGGCAGCAGUGGGGAAUUUUGGACAAUGGGCGAAAGCCUGAUCCAGCAAUGCCGCGUGAGUGAAGAAGGCCUUCGGGUUGUAAAGCUCUUUUGUCAGGGAAGAAACGGUGAAAGCUAAUAUCUUUUGCUAAUGACGGUACCUGAAGAAUAAGCACCGGCUAACUACGUGCCAGCAGCCGCGGUAAUACGUAGGGUGCAAGCGUUAAUCGGAAUUACUGGGCGUAAAGCGUGCGCAGGCGGUUUUGUAAGUCUGAUGUGAAAUCCCCGGGCUCAACCUGGGAAUUGCAUUGGAGACUGCAAGGCUAGAAUCUGGCAGAGGGGGGUAGAAUUCCACGUGUAGCAGUGAAAUGCGUAGAUAUGUGGAGGAACACCGAUGGCGAAGGCAGCCCCCUGGGUCAAGAUUGACGCUCAUGCACGAAAGCGUGGGGAGCAAACAGGAUUAGAUACCCCAGUAGUCCC
rnacentral:rRNA from 1 species